rnacentral:sRNA from 1 species
GCUGGGCGAGGUGACGCACACCUGUAAUCCCAGCAGUUCGGGAGGCUGAGGCAGGAUUGCAGGUUCAAAGCCAGCCGCAGCAACUCAGGGAGACCCUGUCUCUA